CUGGAGUCCAAUGCCACGAUUGCGGCUCACUGCAACCUCCACCUCCCAGGUUCAAGCAAUUCUCCUGCCUUGGCUUCCCCAGUAGCUGAGAUUACAGGCAUGUGGCACGAAGCCCGGCUAAUUUUGGGAUUUUUAGUAGAGUCGGGGUUUCACCAUGUUGGUCAGGCUAGUCUCAAAUUCCUGACCUCAGGUGAUCUACCCGCCUCGGCCUCCCAAAGUGCUGGGAUCACAGGCGUGAGCCACCACACCUGGCCUAUCAUCUCCAUUUUCUUUUCUUUUCUUUUUUUUUUUUUUGAGAGAGAGAGUUUUGCUCUUGUUACCCAGGCUGGAGUGCAAUGGCACGAUCCCAGUUCACACAACCUCCGCCUCCUGGGUUCAGGCAAUUCUCCUGCCUCAGCCUCCUGAGUGGUUGGGAUUACAGGCAUGCGCCACCAUGCCCAGCUAAUUUUUUGUAUUUUUAGUAGAAACGGGAUUUCACCAUGUUGACCAGGAUCGUCUCGAUCCCUUGGCCUUGUGAUCCACCCUCCUUGGCCUCCCAAAGUGCUGGGAUUACAGGUGUGAGCCACCACGCCCGGCUUCAUCUCCAUUUUCUAGAGUACAGGUUCAGAGAGUUUGAGAUUCUUGUUCCCAGCAGACAGUUUGGCCUUAGAGCCGGGAGUGGGACCAGGUAUGACAGCAGGGACCACACAGUUCCCACCAUGCUGCCCUGGGUCCCCAUCCUAUCUGUUUUGGGGAGGGAAGGCUUGUAAAGGAAACCAGAGAUUCUUAGCCACCUGUUCCAGGCAGGAAGCCCUGUCUGUGACCCUGCCUCCCCGGGGUAGAGAGCACAGCCUUGGCCUCCUCCUCCUCCUCCAGGGGAUUGGUGCGAAGGCACAUGCCUUUCUCAUCUUAUCACCCCCAUCUGCUGGGGGCAGGUUGCUUGGUCCUGAGGUCAGUGACUGAGAAAGCCAAGGGAAGAGAGUGUUGCGGAAGAAGUCUCCCAGGAGGGACCCUGGAGCACGCGCUGUUUCUCUCUCCAGCCGAAAACACCCACUGCCAGGUGACUGAGCUCCAGGGCCCCUUCAUACCCUGCCUCAGUUUCUACUCUGCCUGAGACCUGCUGAGGGCACCUCCCUGGAAACACAGACAGGACGUGUGUGCGGGUCCUUCAGGUGCUGUGCCAGGAGACCUAGCAUAGCAGCUCUGUGCCCUGUUGGGACGCCCGUCUAGCUGCAGUGCCAUUUCAGAAGUCUGAAGCUCCAUAUCCACUGGUGGAUUUGUUUAUUUGUCUACAGAGCAAGGGUUGGACCCAAUGGACUCUAAGGUGCUAGUGGACUUUAACAUGAUCAGUUGUUCUGUUUAUAUUUAAGAACACGGUAAUAGAAAAUGCAGGUUCUCCGUAAAGUUGCCUGGAGAGAGGCAGGUGUGGGCGAGAGAGGGAGCUAGCUGGGAAGGUGGAUCUUUGUGUGGUUUACAACGUGUGAGGCGGAGCCUGCUGGGUCUCUUCCUGUUCCCAGUAUCUAUAUUGAUCCAGCCCAGCUGGCUUUGGGGCAGACUGGAUCUGGGCUUGGGUCUCAGGAAGGGAGACAAAGAGAGAUCAAAGGUCUUAUCCUAGUAGUGCUCCCAAACCUGUCCAGGUGAGUUUUCCCUCCAGCGGUCCCACGGGCAGAACUCAGCUCCGAGAGUUCUCCCUAGAACACCUGGUUUCUCAAGACAGGCAAAGAAGGCCUGGUGCACCCUCAUCAGCUGGCUCCCACCACAGCUCCUCCCUGCCCACCCAGGCUCCUGCUUCCUGCAGAUCUUGUGCUAAGGAAUGAAGAGUGCCUGCAAUUACCCUUCUUUCCACUACUUGGGAAGGAGAUGGUGAUUUCUGCAAACCAUCACCAAAGAAAACGCUGUUGUAGCCUGUGUCUAUUUAUAUCUGGACUUACACACGAAACUGGGAAACUGUGAGGAUGGGGGAAACCUGCACCUUCACAUAUUCACAAGAAGUGAGGCAGGAAUUGUCCUUUUGUCAUUUAGAUAUGCUUUUUUCCACGUGAAAUGGAGCAGGUGCUCAGAAGGGCACUGGGUGGCUGAGGCGGGGGCAGAUCUUGCGGUUCCAAAGCUGAAGCCCGAGAACAACAGGCUGUCGAGGGGCCCAGGUGCAUGAGCAGCCCGUCCUGCUGAAACCACAUGCUCUUCAGGGAUUGACUCAGUUCAGUUUCAGUGUGAACUUUCAAGACUUUCUUCAGGAAAUAAGCACGAAGAUGUCUUGUAACUGGCCAGAGGUCAGGACCUAAGCAUGUGUCUGAGAUGGCACUUGCCCUGGCACAGGAAGUAGCUGAGUUGGGCUGGGGUGGGAGCUGGACGGCCAGUGCAGGAACCGGUGGGAGAUGCUCUGACCUCUUUCCCGGAGCUCGGGGUGGUGGGGGGGGAGGGUCUGCGCAGAAGGCCUAGGGUCCCUGGAGCUGGAGGCAUCUGCUCAGCUCUCCCCACCCACCCCAGCCCCCUUGGAGCCACGGGGGCCCAAAGGCAUCAAGUCCCUAGUGCUGUCCUUUGAUCUGCUGACCUACUCUCUGAUCCCUGGGAGCUGGGCCUUAAAGGAGCCUGGAAAGGGUGGGCUCAAAGGCUCACAGCCACACCCUCAAACGGGGCGGGGCCUGCUGCGUGCUCCGCUCCCUCAGUCCCUCCUCCUCAGCCUCUCCCUGCAACCUGGAUUUCCUGUUCCCAUCUUAGAGGGCACCUUCACCCUGGCUCUCCCCAGGUGGCCAGCACCACCCAGGCUGCACUGGGAAUUCGAGCCCCCUAGAACACCGCCAAGUCACUGGCUUGACCCUCUUCUCCGGGCCCAGCCCCUGCUGCAAACAACCAGCCCUACCGGGGACUUGGUGUGAGAAGUUAGGGAGACGCCGCGGGAUUUACAUUAGUCAAAUGCAGUGACCCAGGGACCUCUGUUUUUGGAAAUUUCCUCCAGAGACAAAAAUCUCCGCUUCCUUUCAGACCUGGGGCAGCUUCCCAACCUCCCCAGACCCUGGAGGGAAGGGACAGGCCUGGCCACCCCGGCUCAGCCGGUGACCAGGUCUCUUUAUGACAUAGGGAGGUGAAAUCCUCUCCACCCUCUUCGGAGCUUCAGAUUCACGCAGGGCCCUCUGCAGACUGUUGGCAGAAACAAGGUAGACACCAAACACAUGCACAAGCUGGGCGUUUUCCAGAACGCCACAGAACCACCCUCCAGAGAGACAUGCGGUCCACAGUGCUGGGUGAGUCCUGCAAUGAGGAGAUCUUCCCGUUGAGGCUAAGGGCACUGCCUGCACGCUGUACCAGGCCCAGCCUCCAGCCUCCACGGAAAAUGUGCUUCCGAAUCAGCGCUCUUUCCAAAGGCUCCACACUGCUCUCCGGUAGCAUUGGCCCAGGCACCCCGUGAGAACCCAUCUGCCACCCGGGAACAACACACAACUCAGCACGAGUCACAGAAGGUGGCGUCCAUCGCGCCUGGACGGUGUCUGCUGCCUCGCAGGCUGCUGGGGGUAGGGGGUGAAACACACAGGGAGGAAGCACACACACACACAAAUGUGGCUCGGGGACAUCGGAAUGCUUCAGUGCGUGAAUUUUUUAGUGCAUUCUGACUGGAAAUUAUGGCUGAAUAGUGGCGCACUAAUGUCCAAGCCCAUGUUCGAUAAUGGCAGGAAGUCUGAGCUAAUUGGUCUAUUUAGUAGUUGCUGAGGUGGCAAAAGCUGCAGCUGCUGGCGGCUGACAGAGACGGAGAGGGAGAGAAAGAGAGGAGAAACCUCCUCUUAUUCCACUUUUCAGAGCUGCGGCAGUGAGGGAGGGGGGAUUCCUCAGGAUGGGCAAAUGGUGUCUGUGGUCAAGUUCCCCUCUGGCAACCCUGCCCAAGCCUCUUCUCACAGGUGCACGCAUUCAAGGCCUGACCAGGCCCCCAGCAGUGUUCCUGGGCCCUGGCUGGGACCUGCCUGGGAGGGGCUCCACAGGGCAGGGGACUGGGCUGGAUUGCCUCGAAUUCUUCCCACUCCUCCCCUCCUUGAGAGCAGCUUUUGUCCCCGCACCCAUUCCUCUCCCCUUUGCUUUCUAACCUCGCUGGGAAGCUAAUCUGUCCAGAACCUACGACUGAGCCCAAGGAGUGGCACGUGCCUGUGGUCCCAGCUACUUGGGAGGCUGGGACAGGAGAAUCGCCUGAGCCCACGGGUGGACGUGAACUCCAGCUGGGGCCACAGAGCAGACCCCUGUCUGAAAAAAGAGCCCGCUGCCCACCUCACCAUUUGAACUGAGAAUAUUUUACCAGAGAGAAUGCAGGCAUGGAGAAGCCACCAUCCCACACAGAGUAAGGAUGUGUGGGGUGGGGGCAGAUGGAAAAUGGGACUCUGGACAGUUCCAAGCCCCUAGCGUGCCCACCCCUGCCAGGAGGCUCCAGUUGCUCUGGCAUUUCAGCGUCUUCUCCUGCAGCUUACGCCACACCUGGGAACAGCUGGACCGUCCUCAAGGUCACCGAGGGGCCACCGGCUGAGGACCCAGGCGCGAAGACUGCCACCUGCUCUGACUGCAGGCCUGUCGGCCAGGGCUGCGUCCAGAAUCUGGGUCGAUGGCGUUAUUAUCAUAUUAUAACCUCCUCCUCGCACGAUUCUAAUAACUUCUUUUCCCACUUGCCCUGUGACCGGGCUGGGCUCCUCCCAGCAGAAAACAGCGGGUGUCCUGUUUGUGGCAGAAACAAACCCCAGGAUCCCUCCUAGCAGCAGCCGGCCUGGGCCCGCUGGGUCUUUUCUCUUCUCUUCGGCAUACAGGCCCCUCUCCGCUGUUUCUGCAGAGACCAAGAUGGGAGGGAGAAAGACCCUCCAGCCCCCUGCCCCCACCCUCCUCGCAAUCUCCGGGGCCCUGUGCUGCGGGCAAGAUAAUUUGGCUAAUGAACUCGUUAAAGGGCCCCUGGUGACCCGCCCCGGCGUCCCCUCGGCCCAUCUGGGAAAUUCCACUGAAAGGCUGGAGAGCCUCCUCUGUCCCGCCGCCGUCUGUCGCUGCUGGAGGCGCGAAUCCUGUGACUCUGGGCCCUUUACAUUAAAAUAAUUACCCGGUGGAACAGGUGGCUCACUCCCGGAGCCUGAGAGCAUCUGGGCCCCGGAGUCGCAGCCGAGGAGGAGGGGAGAGGCACGCCCCAGGAAGGGAAGGUCAGGCCCUCAGGCCCGGGGAACCGGGGGAGCCGGAGGGUAGAGAGGGGUUUUCCUAGGGAUGGACGGUCCCAGGGCACCCAGGCCUCUGUGGCCUAGUGGGCCGAGGCCUGAGCAGGGAGGCCGCCGCCCCUCGGCGCAGGUAAGCGCAGCGCGCGCACCAAUUGGGAUGCAUCUGGCUACCUGCUCUGCCACCAAGCUUGGGGCAUGCGGGUGCCCGAGCAGAACCCCUAAUUCGCCCGGGCUCCGAGGUUGAAGCAACUCCUAACAUUGGGCUCUGAGCCAGGAGCUUGCUGGAGAGGCGCCUGCCACGCUGGUCCUCGGGGCUCACAGCCGGGCGCCACAGACUGCGGCGAGCGCCUGAGGAGUGUGCGCCCUGUGUGCAGGCGUGCCAGAACGCACGUGUAGGGCGGCUUCCUGUCCUCCUUUCCCGCCUGAGGAGCGUCCACGCGGAGUUCCAGGCCGCUGGGGAAGGAGGUCCCCGGGAAGCUGCUAAAAAGAGAGCGGCCAGCCCAGGCGCGGGGCCAAGACUAUUGCCAAAAACAUAUUACCCUGCGACAUUCUGUAAAUGAGAUAAUGAUCCAUAAACCCGGAUGAUAGAUGUGGCCUGCCUGCGAUGUCUUCUCUAAAUGAGCUGUUCGCAUCGACUGCUAAUAAUGGUGAGUUUAUGGAAGCGAUUUCAGCGCAAACUGCGAGAGGGUCUUCUUACUCUAAUCAGCCUGCCUGAGCUAAUGGACAGGGGGUCAGGCUGAGAGUUAUUGACACGCCCGUGGCCUUAACCUGUUUCCCGAUAAAGCUGAUUAGUUUUGUCAAUUCAUCAGCUCACCGCUGUUGCUGGAACUGCGUCAAAGCCUUAUUUGCUCAGGGGAAAUCAACAAGUCACAGAUCAGCUCCAUUAAGGGGCCGGCCUGGCUGGGACAGUCCUGGAGCCCCGGGACGCCCCAACGGACCUCUGGCCUCGCCCGAGCUUCCCAGAGCGGCUGAGAGCGUGGCCCCCCUUAACUCAGCACCACGACCCGGAUGCACAUAACUAUGUCUGGAAACUUCUCUUUCUUUGCAGGCGGGGCAGCGCCAGUGCGGCUCAGCGCUACGGCUGCAAGGCUGGGGGCCCUGGCGUCUGGGCUCAGCCGGGGACAGUUUUCACGCGAGGCAGAGCCUGGCUGGAGGUCGCAGGGCGGUGGAGAGCGAGGGCAUGAGGGAGGGUGCUGGGAACCGCGCAGUGUCGGUGGCCAAGCAUCCCUCCGACGCAACCCCAGGGGAAGAGGGCAGGACCCUGGACCCCGCCCGGGGCUGCGCGUGCCUAAGCUUGGGGGACAUGCAGAAGGGCACCAAACCCGCCCCAGUGCAGAGUUCUACUUUGUUCGGUGACUUCGCACGCUCGUUGGAGGGAGCUGAGGGUGCCCCAGUGCACCUGCGCUGAGGUUUUAGUAGCUGGCCCCACCUGCGUCUCAGGUGAGCCGCUGCAGGAAGGGCCCUCCCAGGCAUCCCUCGGUUCCUGCUAGCAGGAGUGAGGCCCUCCGGAGCCUGCGGAGGUGACCCCUACGCCCUGGCUCAUGGGCGGCAAAGGAAAAUGUGUGCUGUCCCUUUAAGCCCCCGGCCACCGCCACCUCCCGGCCCCAUCCCCCUUCAAUUUAAUUUCAUUAAAACAGAGCAUGAAUAUUUCUAUUAAACCUAAAAUGAAAUAUGAAGCCAUUUAGACUCUGCCUGCACCAAUCACCCAGAUUUAUGACUUUUAUUCAUCACAUCAAGAGCUUGGAAAAAUGAAUUUUCUUCACCCAGGAAGGAAAUAAAACCUCAGGCUUGGUCAUUUCCAGAAAGCUGUUAAUUUGACCAUGUGGUAAUUACUUUCACAAUUAACUAAAAUACAAAUCAACUUGACAAAUUGGGCUAGUUUAUAUAUUAAUUAGCCCCCUUAAAUUUAUUCAUUAUGAAAAGACAAUUUAAGGGGACCUGUGGUGUCUGUUUUAUUGCAAUAAAUUAUUGUUAGGAAAUGGGUUUAAUAAAAUAUCUUAAUAUUUAAGGAUAUUGUAUACGCGGGGGGUAUGCUUUAUUGACAAUUUCAUUUUCCAAUUAGUAAUUUUGUUGUAAUAUAUCUGCGAACCGGGGACUCCCGGGCGGGGAGGCAGGAUUCUCCCGGCUGGGGCGGUCUGAGUAGCUGGGUCUGAGGCUCGGGCUAAGAAGAGCAAAUUCUGUGGAAAGGGCCGCGUCCGACCGGCGCAAACGUUCGGUUCGUAGCAGGAACCACUCCAGGCGGCCACCGAACCCCCGGCCCAGGACUCGGCACUCCUGGAGCCCUCCUCCCCACGCAGGCCUCGGGGGCUGAUUUAAUAGAAUGUCGAUAGAAUCAUUCGAUGCCUUUUAGCUUGUGAUCUUUAUAAAUGUCCCUCUAUUAAAUUAGAAAAUGAU